rnacentral:rRNA from 1 species
UGGGGAAUAUUGGGCAAUGGGCGCAAGCCUGACCCAGCAACGCCGCGUGAAGGAAGAAGGCCCUCGGGUUGUAAACUUCUUUUAUCAGGGACGAAGAAGUGACGGUACCUGAUGAAUAAGCCACGGCUAACUACGUGCC